AGUGGGGUUUCCAUUGUUUGUGUGCGAUCGUGAAAAAUUGACAGAUCACAAUUUAAACGCAGUUUAUCCACAAAUACUGCAUUUAUGACAUUUUAUUAGGUGCGAAAUGGUCACAUCAAACGUAUCACAGACAAUGACAUUCAGUCGUUAGUUUUAGAAAUUGUUGGAACAAAUGUCAGCACAACAUACAUCACAUGUCCAGCAGAUCCAAAGAAAACACUUGGUAUUAAGCUUCCAUUCUUGGUGAUGAUCAUCAAAAAUUUAAAGAAAUAUUUCACAUUUGAAGUACAGGUCUUAGAUGACAAGAAUGUCAGGAGGCGAUUUAGAGCUAGCAAUUACCAGAGUACCACACGAGUGAAGCCAUUUAUCUGUACCAUGCCAAUGAGGUUGGAUGAUGGCUGGAAUCAAAUUCAGUUCAACUUGUCAGAUUUCACAAGGAGAGCAUAUGGAACAAACUAUAUUGAAACCCUGAGAGUCCAGAUUCAUGCCAAUUGUCGGAUUCGAAGAGUAUACUUCUCAGACAGACUAUAUUCAGAAGAUGAAUUACCGGCAGAAUUCAAGUUAUACCUACCUGUCCAAAACAAGGCAAAGGCAUAACAAACAAUAUCUGACUAUUAGAACAUUUUAACUCAGUGUAAAUACAUCAACAUUUAAAACAAAAAACUGUUCAAAUUGCUACUCAAGAAAGUUACAAAAAAUUGUCUGUGAAUAAGAAAAAAAUUUAAUGGAGGACUGAAAAAUAAUAAAUGUGUACUUCAGUUUAUCUGUGAUGUUGGACAAUAUGAACAAACGGAUCUUUGGCAACAAUAGUGGAAUGAACAAUUGCCUGGCACAUUUGUCUUUUGAACAUGUGCAUUGAUUCUGCUCCGCCAUUACCGGUUUUAAGUGUUCAUAACUAACAGUUCUCUCGUUACUUUUUUUGUGUUAUUCGAUGCAAAUUUAUUUCUGUAGGCUUUCUUAUUUUAUGAAACAAUGAAAUGAUCUGUAUAAUUCUUUUUACUGAUUUUAAAACUCAGGACUAGGUGUUAUAGAAAAAAAUCCUGAUUAUUUUGUGAUUGAAAACAAAAACUUCUGAAAAAUUGUUAUUGUGAAUAGCUGGAUGACUGAUAUGAGAGUAUCAAAAUGGAAAAUAUCUUUUCAUUAAACACUUG
rnacentral:misc_RNA from 1 species